UCUGCUCCAAACUGGAGAGAUGAAGCUCUCUCGCCUGAGAGAGAAUACAAGCCCUGUCUGACUUCCUGUGAAGCUAGUCAGGGCAGAACAUCUUUUCUCCGGAUCCUCUUCUCAGCAGCAGCCACAGCAGUAAAUCUUCAGAGAAGCCUCAUUAGCUCCCUCAGUUCCAACCUGGACAGAGAAGAAAAUGAGAAGUUUUAACUCUUCCCACUGAUCUACUUUGCGGUGGAGUAGAUAUGGGCAAGCAUCAGACACAACCAGGUAAUAAAUCCUGCUUCCAUCACA
rnacentral:lncRNA from 1 species